AAGUCGUAACAAGGUUUCCGUAGGUGAACCUGCGGAAGGAUCAUUAUCGUACACUCAGUGUGCCCUAGAGGCCCUGCGGGGCCGCGCUUGCAAUAACCGGAAGGCCAGGAUUGUGUUCCCACCCCUUCAUAAACACUUUCCUGGAGCGCGGCUGUCUGAAUCCUUUGUCUAUGCGUACUCUCUUGUUUGCUCCCUCGGCGGGGUCACCCGUCGUUGGGUUAGCUUCCCCCACUCUUUUGCGGUAGCAGUAUACUUCUGAUGUUGGCAUAAAUCAUUACAACUUUCAACAACGGAUCUCUUGGUUCUG
rnacentral:misc_RNA from 1 species